UCCGUAGGCGGGCAAUUAAGUCAGAGGUGAAAUCCCACAGCUCAACUGUGGAACUGCCUUUGAUACUGGUUAUCUUGAGUUUUAGUGAAGUAGAUAGAAUGUGUAGUGUAGCGGUGAAAUGCAUAGAUAUUACACAGAAUACCGAUUGCGAAGGCAGUCUACUAACUAACAACUGACGCUAAUGGACGAAAGCGUGGGGAGCGAACAGGAUUAGAUACCCUGGUAGUCC
rnacentral:rRNA from 1 species